GAUCAUGGCUCAGAUUGAACGCUGGCGGCAGGCCUAACACAUGCAAGUCGAACGGUAGCACAGAGAGCUUGCUCUUGGGUGACGAGUGGCGGACGGGUGAGUAAUGUCUGGGAAACUGCCCGAUGGAGGGGGAUAACUACUGGAAACGGUAGCUAAUACCGCAUAACGUCGCAAGACCAAAGAGGGGGACCUUCGGGCCUCUUGCCAUCGGAUGUGCCCAGAUGGGAUUAGCUAGUAGGUGGGG
rnacentral:rRNA from 1 species